UAUGUGAUCGUCUCUCGCAUAUCAAUAAGCGGAGGAAAAGAAACUAACAAGGAUUCCCCUAGUAACGGCGAGUGAAGCGGGAAGAGCUCAAAUUUGAAAUCUUAAAGGGUUUCCCUUUACGAAUUGUAGUUUAAAGAAGUGUUUUCUGUUGAGGUUUUGGUAAAAGUUCUUUGGAAUAGGACAUCAUAGAGGGUGAGAAUCCCGUAUUUGACCUUUACUUUCAACUUUGUGAUACACUUUCAAAGAGUCGGAUUGUCUGGGAAUGCAGUCCAAAAUGGGUGGUAAAUUUCAUCUAAAGCUAAAUAUUGGCGAGAGACCGAUAGCGAACAAGUACCGUGAGGGAAAGAUGAAAAGAACUUUGAAAAGAGAGUUAAACAGUACGUGAAAUUGUCAAAAGGGAAGCGUUUGACACCAGUGUUGUUUUUCUGAAAAUCAAUUAAAGAACUGUUUAUGCUAAGCUGUUUAGACUUUAUCAGCUAUCUGUUUAGUUUUGAGCUUUUCUUUAAUGCACUUUUCAGUUAACAAGUCAACAUCAAUUUCUUUUGCUGUAAAAAAGCUUGAGGAAGGUGGCUUGAGAUUCGUCUUAAGUGUUUAUAGCCUCUUGCCUAUGCAGUCGGAGAGAUUGAGGUCUGCAGCGUAGAUCCUUCGGGGCUAAAUGCAUUUGUGCUAAGUUAUAGCAUUUUAUAGACAACUUGUUGACUAUGAUUUGUCUUGUAGCUUACUCGCUUAUGUUAUUUUACCUACGCUUAGGAUGUUGAAGAUAUGCGCGACACG
rnacentral:rRNA from 1 species